rnacentral:rRNA from 1 species
CCUACUGGGCGCAGCAGUGGGGAAUAUUGCACAAUGGGGGAAACCCUGAUGCAGCGACGCCGCGUGAGUGAAGAAGUAUUUCGGUAUGUAAAGCUCUAUCAGCAGGGAAGAAAAUGACGGUACCUGAUUAAGAAGCCCCGGCUAACUACGUGCCAGCAGCCGCGGUAAUACGUAGGGGGCAAGCGUUAUCCGGAUUUAUUGGGUUUAAAGGGUGCGCAGGCGGCGAGUUAAGUCAGCGGUAAAAUUUCGGGGCUCAACCCCGACAAGCCGUUGAAACUGGCUUGCUAGAGUGGGCGAGAAGUAUGCGGAAUGCGUGGUGUAGCGGUGAAAUGCAUAGAUAUCACGCAGAACCCCGAUUGCGAAGGCAGCUUGCUGCAGCGGAACUGACGCUGAUGCUCGAAAGCGCGGGUAUCGAACAGGAUUAGAUACCCUAGUAGUC